UGUUUUCUUGUUUAGACUCUACUCCUGGUUUAUAUUCACUCCAUGUUUAUUCCUAGUAAACUCACUGACUGCACCUGCUUCCUGACUCUCUGUUACAGAAUACUACCUCACAGAAUGGAAGCAGCAGCCAACUGAGACAUCUCCCAGAUGGUUGGCGAACCGGGGGACCUACUUCGCCAACACCACAACCAGCAGGCACAACUAGGGAUGGCUAUGGAUGAGGUCCUCUGCGUUAUUCAACAUCUAGAUCUUCCUCAAAGGACGUCACCCCCAACGAGGACCUUCUACCAUGAGUCGACCCAGUGAGCCAGCACCCCAACCCAUUCAGCAGUCUUCCCAGGUCAGUGAUGCCCGUUUGUCCCUUCCGGACAAAUAUUAUGGGACUCCAUCCAAAUGCUGUGGCUUCCUCCUCCACUGCUCCCUCUAUUUUUCUCAUCAAACGGGAGCCCCCAUCGUCGAGAGGUUUAAGGUUUCCAUGGUUAUUUCCCUGCUGACCAGGCCGUCUGGGAGAGAGGAGAGCAAGAGCUGGGAUCCUAUGGGAGGUUCAUUGCUCUGUUCAGAGGAGUCUUCGAUUUUCAACCGGGGGGCUGAGCACCUACUCCAACUACGGCAGGAGGACCAGACUGAUGCAGAGUACGGCCUCACCUUCCGUACAGUGGCAGCAUCCAGCGGAUAGAAUGAGCCGGCACUCCGCACCUUAUUCAGAAGAGAAUUGCGCGAAGAGGCCCAGACGAAGUUAACUUGCAAAGACGACACCCUCUCAUUGGACGCACUCAUCGCGGUGGCCAUCCAUCUGGAUAACCUCCUUCGGGAGCGUCAGCACUCCCAUCAACUCUCUCCCUCAUUCGUCGACCAAUCUGAGUCCGAGUCUGAACCCAUGGAGGUAGGGUCCCCACGCCUCCCGCGCCUGAGCGUCGUCUUCCGAGACAGCUGGGGCUCUGUCCCUAUUGUGGUCAAGAGUGGCACCAGCUUCAACGGUGUCAGCUACGUCCCAACAUGGGAGCCACCAGAGCAGAGGAACGGCCCCGUGAUCAUCCGUUUCCUGGGCUCUAGUGGACUCUGGUGCCGUGGGGAAUUUUAUUGACCAGGCCCUUGCCUCCUCCCUGAACAUAAGAUCAUACCCGCUCUCCUCUCCGUUUCCGGUUCAAGCGCUGGAUAACCAACCACGGGGAUCUGGAACAAUGACACACAUCACAGCACCACUCCCCAUCACCGUGGCACCCCAGCACCAAGAACCUUUUCUCAUCAUCCAGGCACCCGUACACAAAGUCGUCCUCGGCCUCCCGUGGCUCCCACUCCACGACCCCACCAUUUCCUGGUCAAGGAUGGAAAUCACGGCCUGGGCACCCGGAUGUCAGAAGACCUGCUUUCCCUUACCCUGUGGUUCCACGUUGGUUGAGAGUUGUGUGGUUGGCCUCCAUGUCUUUAUUAAAUGUUUUUUAUUAAAAUAACAUGUUUUUGAAA